rnacentral:rRNA from 1 species
AACGAACGCUGGCGGCAGGCCUAACACAUGCAAGUCGAGCGAGGACUUCGGUCCUAGCGGCGGACGGGUGAGUAACGCGUAGGAACGUGCCCUUUGCUUCGGAAUAGCCCUGGGAAACUGGGAGUAAUACCGGAUGAGCCCUUUGGGGGAAAGAUUUAUCGGCGAAGGAUCGGCCCGCGUUGGAUUAGGUAGUUGGUGGGGUAAUGGCCUACCAAGCCGACGAUCCAUAGCUGGUUUGAGAGGAUGAUCAGCCACACUGGGACUGAGACACGGCCCAGACUCCUACGGGAGGCAGCAGUGGGGAAUCUUAGACAAUGGGGGAAACCCUGAUCUAGCCAUGCCGCGUGAGCGAUGAAGGCCUUAGGGUUGUAAAGCUCUUUCAGCUGGGAAGAUAAUGACGGUACCAGCAGAAGAAGCCCCGGCUAACUCCGUG